rnacentral:rRNA from 1 species
GAUGAACGCUGGCUACAGGCUUAACACAUGCAAGUCGAGGGGAAACGACGGGGAAGCUUGCUUCCCCGGGCGUCGACCGGCGCACGGGUGAGUAACGCGUAUCCAACCUGCCUCUGACUGAGGGAUAACCCGUCGAAAGUCGGCCUAAUACCUCAUGGCAUCGUCUGCGGGCAUCCAACGACGAUUAAAGAUUUCAUCGGUCAGGGAUGGGGAUGCGUCUGAUUAGCUGGUUGGCGGGGUAACGGCCCACCAAGGCGACGAUCAGUAGGGGUUCUGAGAGGAAGGUCCCCCACAUUGGAACUGAGACACGGUCCAAACUCCUACGGGAGGCAGCAGUGAGGAAUAUUGGUCAAUGGGCGAGAGCCUGAACCAGCCAAGUAGCGUGCAGGAAGACGGCCCUAUGGGUUGUAAACUGCUUUUAUGCGGGGAUAAAGUGAGGGACGUGUCCUUCAUUGCAGGUACCGCAUGAAUAAGGACCGGCUAAUUCCGUGCCAGCAGCCGCGGUAAUACGGAAGGUCCGGGCGUUAUCCGGAUUUAUUGGGUUUAAAGGGAGCGUAGGCCGUGGAUUAAGCGUGUUGUGAAAUGCAGGUGCUCAACGUCUGCACUGCAGCGCGAACUGGUCCACUUGAGUGUGCGCAACGCAGGCGGAAUUCGUCGUGUAGCGGUGAAAUGCUUAGAUAUGACGAAGAACUCCGAUUGCGAAGGCAGCUUGCGGGAGCACAACUGACGCUGAAGCUCGAAAGUGCGGGUAUCGAACAGGAUUAGAUACCCUGGUAGUCCGCACGGUAAACGAUGGAUGCCCGUUGUCAGGCUGUUUCAGCCUGGUGACCAAGCGAAAGCAUUAAGCAUCCCACCUGGGGAGUACGCCGGCAACGGUGAAACUCAAAGGAAUUGACGGGGGCCCGCACAAGCGGAGGAACAUGUGGUUUAAUUCGAUGAUACGCGAGGAACCUUACCCGGGCUUGAAUUGCAGACGAAGGCUUCAGAGAUGAAGCGGCCCUUCGGGGCGUCUGUGAA